CCGGUAAACGGCGGCCGUAACUAUAACGGUCCUAAGGUAGCGAAAUUCCUUGUCGGGUAAGUUCCGACCUGCACGAAUGGCGUAAUGAUGGCCAGGCUGUCUCCACCCGAGACUCAGUGAAAUUGAACUCGCUGUGAAGAUGCAGUGUACCCGCGGCAAGACGGAAAGACCCCGUGAACCUUUACUAUAGCUUGACACUGAACAUUGAGCCUUGAUGUGUAGGAUAGGUGGGAGGCUUUGAAGUGUGGACGCCAGUCUGCAUGGAGCCGACCUUGAAAUACCACCCUUUAAUGUUUGAUGUUCUAACGUUGACCCGUAAUCCGGGUUGCGGACAGUGUCUGGUGGGUAGUUUGACUGGGGCGGUCUCCUCCUAAAGAGUAACGGAGGAGCACGAAGGUUGGCUAAUCCUGGUCGGACAUCAGGAGGUUAGUGCAAUGGCAUAAGCCAGCUUGACUGCGAGCGUGACGGCGCGAGCAGGUGCGAAAGCAGGUCAUAGUGAUCCGGUGGUUCUGAAUGGAAGGGCCAUCGCUCAACGGAUAAAAGGUACUCCGGGGAUAACAGGCUGAUACCGCCCAAGAGUUCAUAUCGACGGCGGUGUUUGGCACCUCGAUGUCGGCUCAUCACAUCCUGGGGCUGAAGUAGGUCCCAAGGGUAUGGCUGUUCGCCAUUUAAAGUGGUACGCGAGCUGGGUUUAGAACGUCGUGAGACAGUUCGGUCCCUA
rnacentral:rRNA from 1 species